UUUGGUUAUCGGGUUCACCGCUUUGGUCUUCCGAGAAGCCGGUACUAUGCCAGAAGAAGCUAGGAGAGCCGAAAAGGCGCAUAAAGACCGGGGCCAACUCUGGAGCACACUUUUUCAACAUAAUAG